rnacentral:tRNA from 1 species
UCCCCGGUGGCUCAGAUGGUAAAGCAUCUGCCUGCAAUGUGGGAGACCUGGGUUCAAUCCCUAGGUUGGGAA